AGCAGAGUGGCUCAGUGGCAAGAGCCCGGGCUUGGGAGUCAGAGGUCAUGAGUUCAAAUCCCAGCUCUGCCA
rnacentral:tRNA from 1 species